GCCCGCGGGCUGCCCAGCGCAAGCGCAUUUUCUUGAAGGACCAAGUUGGGAUCCGCUGUUUAUCCGAGCCCCGGCACUGCUUCCUGUGUUGUUCUUCCUCUUGAGGAAAGAGGGGGGUGCUAAAGAUCUCCCCGCACACCCUUGCGCUCGCCGGCCACCGCAGCAGGUGUCCCCAGGGUUGCUGAUGGCUCCCUUGCACUCGCCCUUCCUGAAGAGCAGUUUGGCAGCCAAGGCACCUGGAGUUAUCGGAAUGUCCUGGAUGGCUGGCCAGGCGGCUUUCCCCCGCGAAGAAAGUAUUUGUAUGCUGUCCAUUUGGAGCUGUCCACAGGGCCCCUGGUUCCCUCUAUGACCCACCUUGACCAUUUUAUCAAGAUUGUGUGAUUGGCAGAUGUAAGACAUACCCAGAGGGCAGAAAGUUAAAAACCACCAGGUCUUCAGAAGGACCUACCCGAAGAACCUUGAAUUCACAGAAGCCACCGGGAACAGCAAGAGGAGUCUGCUUUUGUGUUCCUGCAGCCUUUCUAGUCUCUUCCUUCAGGAUCGUUGAGCCAGUGCCCUGGGGUGUCGUAUUGCCUUCCCAACGAAUCUCAUAAGAUUGCUCUAAAAAUCCAGUGGAAUGAUGAUUAUGCAAGUCCUGGGUGAGCGGAACCUACUCUGCACACGUGAGGCCCUGGCCUGGGGGCUCCAAGAUGUCCUCUGCAUUUAUAUUACAGCAGCAUACUAUAGGAAACCGGGACUGUCAUUCGGAAACGACGUCACCAUCCACAACCUCCCUCUGUGUUUUCCCCCUUCUGGCUGGAAGAGCAUCCAUCAUCCCUACUCCUUUAUGCUUAUAUAACGUCUCCACACUUCGCUCAGUUUCGAUGGAAGAUGCGAGAAUAUUUGCUCCAGUUUUUUUCUUAAAGAACUCUGUACUGUCUGUAUGCAUGGAUGGCUUUUCAAAACAGUUCCUUAGAGGUAUAACUUACUCAUCUACUGCAGACUAUAUGCACGAUGAAACACUCCUUUCGCAAUGUGAUAGGGUAGUUUUUCCCAGAUUCCAUUCACUUAGACAUGUUCAAGCCAAGGGAUCCAGGGCACUUAUGGUUUUCUAAUUCUUCUCCCCCUCCCCCCUCUCCUUCCUCCACCUCCUCUUCCUCCUCCUUCUU